CUUCAUGUCUGGAAUAAUACGCCGAAAGGGGUACGUAAUACCGGAUAUUCUUGCGUUUUCAUAAGUUAUGCAAGCAAAGGUGGCCUCUGCAUAUGCUACUGCAUGAAGAGGGGUCUGCGUACCAUUAGCUAGUAGGUGGGGUAAUGGCCUACCUAGGCGACGAUGGUUAGACGGGUCUGAGAGGAUGAUCCGCCACACUGGCACUGGAACACGGGCCAGACUCCGUACGGGAGGCAGCAGUGAGGAAUAUUGCGCAAUGGGGGAAACCCUGACGCAGCGGACGCCGCGUGAGUGAAGGAAGGCCUUCGGGUCGUAAAGCUCUGUCAAGAGGAAAGAAGUGCACAAUGGCUAAUACCUGUUGUAUUUGACGGUACCUCUAAAGGAAGCCACCGGCUAACUCCGUGCCAGCCGCCGC
rnacentral:rRNA from 1 species